rnacentral:rRNA from 1 species
CAGUAGCCGCGGUAAUACGUAUGUCACAAGCGUUAUCCGGAUUUAUUGGGCGUAAAGCGCGUCUAGGUGGUUAUGUGAGUCUGACGUGAAAAUGCAGGGCUCAACUCUGUAUUGCGUUGGAAACUGUGUAACUAGAGUACUGGAGAGGUAAGCGGAACUACAAGUGUAGAGGUGAAAUUCGUAGAUAUUUGUAGGAAUGCCGAUGGGGAAGCCAGCUUACUGGACAGAUACUGACGCUAAAGCGCGAAAGCUAGGGGAGCAAAUGGGAUUAGAUACCCCCGUAGUCCCUGUCUCUUAUACA